UACGGAGGAUGCAAGCGUUAUCCGGAUUCAUUGGGUUUAAAGGGUGUGUAGGCGGAGCAUUAAGUCAGUGGUGAAAUCCUAUAGCUUAACUAUAGAACUGCCAUUGAAACUGAUGCCCUUGAAUGCAGUUGAGGUAGGCGGAAUGUGCAGUGUAGCGGUGAAAUGCUUAGAUAUUGCACAGAACACCGAUUGCGAAGGCAGCUUACUAAACUGUGAUUGACGCUGAGACACGAAAGCGUGGGGAUCAAACAGG
rnacentral:rRNA from 1 species